rnacentral:lncRNA from 1 species
AGGCAGAGCCCGCCGCCGGGUCCUCCUUCCUGCUCGUGCCACCAGGCCCCGGGGCCGCGACGCGUCUCUCCAGCCCGGGAUCCGGGGAGCUGGGCUGUCCCCAGACCGACGGGACAGCGGCAUCUCCUCCACCUGAAAAGGAAAGAGGACCAGUUUGCAGGACUCCGAACUGGGCCCGCGAGAUCUCCACCUGCGCAAAACGAAAGGGCGGAUUCUCCUUGGACUCACGAGGCAACCGCUCCCCGGGGUGAGAACGGGGGACUCAUUCCUCCGGCACUGGGAGAAGACGAUUCUUUAGGAGGAGGACAGGGAAGCGAAUGCUACCCAGAUGUCUCAGUAUACUGGCUCGCGGCACAUCGGGCAAAUGAACCUAUCAGAUAACAACGGCAGAUCAGAUGCCUGAGCAUUCAGAAGCAACAGCUGUGGAGCCCCCGUGGGUUCAGAAGGCCUGGUUCCCGUCUCCAGAAGCCUGGCUCUCCUCCCUCCUGGGCCCACUACUUUGGCUUCUUGUUCCUACGUACAAGGAGUUGCGAAGAAGGCAACUCUUCCCCUCCCUGAAGCCAAAGGAAUGAAACAGACUAGGGCGGGAGAGGUGGCCAUCCGUCAUUAGUUGCGGCCAUCAGUAACAGCAACAGGACACGGAACCUAAGGCUGUAUCCAUCCUGGGCCCCCAGGGAAACAUCAGCGGGAGCGGUACUAAGGAAGUGCUCAUCUCUUAGAGACAAAGGCCCAUGGAGGGGAACAGUAACCAUCCCCUCCCAAUUCAGAAAAUGUUAACAUAAGCACUUCAUUUCUCAUGCAGAUAACCACAUAAGUCUAUUAAUAAGAAAGAAAGAGAAAGAAAAAAAAGAAAAAGGAAUCCAUGCCAGCAGGGUAUAGGAAUUGGUCUAUAGGAGAAAGGGUCACCCACUGAAAGGUGGGCUGAAUAGAAUUCCUUGCCUGGGCUUUGAGGUCCUGGCAUGGAGAAGGCUGUAGAAAUGCUGGCAUCAGUGGAACCCUCAAUAAACAGAAUUCUUGUUAAAGAAUCACAGUCA